rnacentral:rRNA from 1 species
CCCUUAGAUGUUCUGGGCCGCACGCGCGCUACACUGAUGCGUUCAACGAGCCUAGCCUUGACCGAGAGGUCCGGGUAAUCUUUGAAACUGCAUCGUGAUGGGGCUAGAUUAUUGCAAUUAUUAAUCUUCAACGAGGAAUGCCUAGUAAGCGUGAUUCAUCAAAUCGCGUUGAUUACGUCCCUGCCCUUUGUACACACCGCCCGUCGCUCCUACCGAUUGAGUGUGUUGGUGAGGAGUUUGGAUUGGCCUCGGAAGGUGGUUCGCCACCGUCCGUAGCUGAGAAGUUCUCCAAACCGCCCCACUUAGAGGAAGGAGAAGUCGUAACA